rnacentral:rRNA from 1 species
AUGGGGAAGAAGCCCAAGUGGCUGGGCGCCGUCAAGAAGGCUUUCAGCCCCGAAUCCAAGGACCAGAAACUGCAGAGGAGAUUGGCCGCCGCCGGCAGCAGCAGCGCGGCCUACCCGCGGGAUCUGACGCCCUCCGCCUCCUACCUCCAGGCCCGCGCCUCCUCCUCAGGCUCCGCCCUCCCCCGCUACCCCGACGACUUCCCGGAGGCCUCACUUCCUGCUUCAGCCCCGCUCCCCGUCGCUCAAACUCAAACUCAAACUCAAACUCAAACUCUAACUCAAACUCUAACCCAAGAGGAGGAGCAUGAAAUUGAGCAUGUCGCCGCCGCGCCAGCGCCAGCGCCAGCGCCAGCCACGGAUGCGCCGCUCCCUGCCCCUGCCCCUGCUGCCGCCGCACCACCACCACCACCACCACAGGCACAGGCCGCCAUUGUGCCGGCUCCUUGUUCCUCUCCCAUCCUGUCCAGGGAGCUCGCCGCCACCAAGAUCCAGACCGCCUUCCGAGGUCACCUGGCAAGAAGGGCGCUGCGGGCAUUGAAAGGCCUUGUCAGGCUCAAGUCUCUGGUCCAAGGCCACUCCGUCAAGCGCCAGGCCACCAGCACGCUUCGCUGCAUGCAGACUCUAUCCCGGGUCCAGUCCAAGAUACGGACAAGGAGGAUCAAGAUGGCCGAGGAGAACCAGGCCCUUCAGCGCCAGCUCUUGUUGAACCAGGAACUAGAGACUCUCAGGAUGGGAGAUCAGUGGAAUACCAGCCUGCAGUCCAAGGAGCAGAUCGAGGCCAGCCUCGUGAGCAGGCAAGAGGCCGCAGCUAGAAGAGAACGGGCCCUCGCAUACGCGUUUUCCCAUCAGUGGAAGAGCACCUCAAGGUCUGCUAACCCGAUGUUUGUGGACCCGAGCAACCCGCACUGGGGCUGGAGCUGGCUGGAGCGGUGGAUGGCGUCGAGGCCGUUCGACGGCCGGAAUGGGACGGCCGAGAAGGAUGGCAGCAGCGUCGACCGCACGUCGGUGAACAGCACCAGCCUGAGCAUGAACCUCGGCCAAGUGGAGACGGUCACAAAGGCCGACAACCAGGUGGUGGACUCUUUGAAGCCGAACGAUGAUAAGCCCACGCCGCUUUCGACUCCGAAGCCGUCCGGCCCUGCCCCCAGGCAGUCCCCGUCGACGCCCUCGCCGGUGCUGGCGAGGAAGAAGAGCGCGACGCCCAAGAGCGGAGACGGUGACGGCGACGACGCGAGGAGCGUGGUCAGCACUGUCCGGUCCGAGCGGCCCCGGAGGCACAGCAUGGGCGCGUCCAGCGUGCGUGAUGACGCGAGCCUGUCGGGCUCUUCCCCGUCGUCGGUGCCGAGCUACAUGGCGGCCACCAAGUCGGCGUCGGCCAGGGCCAAGUCGCGUGUGCAGAGCCCGAUGCUGACCGAGGGUGCUGCUCAAGCUGAGACGCUGGAGAAAGGAUGGUCUUCUGUGGGUUCAGCGAAGAAGCGGCUGUCCUUUCCGGUUGGGACGCCGCCGGCGGCGACGAGGCGGCACUCCGGGCCUCCCAAGGUGCGGCAGGCGGCCGUGGAAGGUGGCACCGCGGAAGGGGACUCGUCGCUCGUGUGA